rfam:Salmo salar isolate Sally breed double haploid chromosome ssa10, whole genome shotgun sequence.
UGGGUCAGUUGGUAGAGCAUGGUGUUUGCAACGCCAGGGUUGUGGGUUCGAUUCCCAC